GCCGAAUUAGCUCAGUGGUAGAGCUACCGCCUUGUAAGCGGUGGGUCGCAGGUUCAAAUCCAGCAUUCGGCUCCA
rnacentral:tRNA from 1 species